UAAACGGGUGGGCCCUCGAAAUCCUGUGGCGAGAGGAUUCAGUCUGGCUCGGCGGACGUGCCGGGGGAAGAUCGAGGCAGGGCUUCCCUGGACAGGGGCCGUCCUCCGGUGCGACCUCCGUCGUUCCAGACGCAUUUGUCUCUCGUCCCGAGGACGCUGCAGCCGGUCCGGCAGUGCAAGCGUGACGGCCUGAAGGUCGGGAGCUGGCAGGUGGCCGGUGGCUCGCCUCGUGCGGGUUAUCGGUUGUUAGCCGUCUCGUCGGUGGCCCGUCGCCGGACCGUGGUGUCGCGAGUCCCUUCGGGGACUCCUCGUCUCCGCCCCUGCGUCGCGGGACUGACCGCGGCAAGGGUGUUGUGCCCUCCCGUCGCACUCCCUCGGUGUGGACGGGGGUGUACGGUGCCCCGUUGGUCGUGGCGGACCCGUUGGGGACUGGAGGCUGGCAGCGAGUAGGUCGGUCACCCACCCGACCCGUCUUGAAACACGGACCAAGGAGUCUAACAUGUGCGCGAGUCAAUGGGUCUUGACUAGGCCCAGGGGCGCAAUGAAAGCGAAGGACGGCCGAGCGUCGUCUGAGUGGGGAUCCCGUUCCUUCGGGGGCGGGCGCACCCGCGACCCGUCCUAUCCGGCUCGCCGGUUGGGCGGAGUCUGAGCGUACACGUUGGGACCCGAAAGAUGGUGAACUAUGCCCGGACAGGACGAGGCCAGAGGAAACUCUGGUGGAGGUCCGCAG
rnacentral:rRNA from 1 species